UGAGGAAUAUUCGUCAAUGGGGGAAACCCUGAACGAGCAACGCCGCGUGGAGGAUGAAGGCCCUUGGGUUGUAAACUCCUUUUCGGAGGGAAGAGGAAGGACGGUACCUUCGGAAUAAGUCACGGCUAACUACGUGCCAGCAGCCGCGGUAAUACGUAGGUGGCAAGCGUUAUCCGGAAUUACUGGGCGUAAAGCGCACGCAGGCGGCUGUCCAAGUCUGACGUGAAAGCUCCUGGCUUAACUGGGAGAGGUCGUUGGAAACUAGAUGGCUUGAGGUGAGGAGAGGGGUGUAGAAUUCCCGGUGUAGUGGUGGAAUGCGUAGAUAUCGGGAGGAAUACCAGUGGCGAAAGCGGCACCCUGGCCUUGGCCUGACGCUCAGGUGCGAAAGCGUGGGUAGCGAACGGG
rnacentral:rRNA from 1 species